rnacentral:lncRNA from 1 species
GGAAACUCUCCCCACGAGCAUGCAAGGCAUCUUCACCAAACAUCUCAAUUUUAUAAAUCUAAAUUAAUUUAACUGAAUAAAUGCAAUCUUAUUCCAUUGACUGAUUCAAGUCAUAAGGUCUCACAGUUCUAAAUACGCAGCGGAACAAUAAUUGACCAACAUGCAAAAACCUAAUUCUUAAAAUGACAAAACCUUGCAAAGUCCAAUAAUCAUGAUAAAUGUCCAUAAUAAUCAAUUCAACUUAAAUAACCCUAAUCUAAGAUAAUUUGGGCCACAAUUCUUCUAGUCGCUCUCCCAUUUUGAAUCCCCAAUAGUCUAGUUCUCGGAAUCUGUAAAACAACAAGAGAUGGUAUAAUGAGCUAAACAGCCCCUAGUAAGUAAUGAACACUCUAACUAGAUAAAUCAAGCAGUAAUAUGUGGAAAAUAAAUAUAAAUACAGUUCCAAAGUACAAGUCAAAUAUGUCUUAAAUUCAUAAGAUUCUUUUGAAUGUUUCGAAAUUCUUUCACAUAUUCAAUUCAUCUUAUCGAUCCUGGACUAUGACCACAUGUUCCCUGUGGCAGGGUCAUCAACACCGACUAAUCUUCUUGCGGUGAGUCCUUCAGGACAGUCAAUUGCCAACGUAUCUGCCCCCAUUGGCAGGGUCCUCAACAUAGCCAGGUCGAAGUUCAGUUUGUUCUCUAUAAGUCUAUUUCAUAUUUCAGUUAUAUAAAAACAACAUACAGUGUCAAAACUAAAUGUCGUUCAUAUCUCAAUUUCUUUUAAUUUAUCAGAUUCAACUCA